rnacentral:rRNA from 12 species
GGGUUGUGAGGUUAAGCGACUAAGCGUACACGGUGGAUGCCCUGGCAGUCAGAGGCGAUGAAGGACGUGCUAAUCUGCGAAAAGCGUCGGUAAGGUGAUAUGAACCGUUAUAACCGGCGAUGUCCGAAUGGGGAAACCCAGUGCAAUUCGUUGCACUAUCGUUAACUGAAUACAUAGGUUAACGAGGCGAACCGGGGGAACUGAAACAUCUAAGUACCCCGAGGAAAAGAAAUCAACCGAGAUUCCCCCAGUAGCGGCGAGCGAACGGGGAGCAGCCCAGAGUCUGAAUCAGCUUGUGUGUUAGUGGAACGGUCUGGAAAGUCCGACGGUACAGGGUGAUAGUCCCGUACACCAAAAUGCACAGGCUGUGAACUCGAAGAGUAGGGCGGGACACGUGGUAUCCUGUCUGAAUAUGGGGGGACCAUCCUCCAAGGCUAAAUACUCCUGACUGACCGAUAGUGAACCAGUACCGUGAGGGAAAGGCGAAAAGAACCCCGGCGAGGGGAGUGAAAAAGAACCUGAAACCGUGUACGUACAAGCAGUGGGAGCACCUUCGGGUGUGACUGCGUACCUUUUGUAUAAUGGGUCAGCGACUUAUAUUCUGUAGCAAGGUUAACCGUAUAGGGGAGCCGCAGGGAAACCGAGUCUUAACUGGGCGUUAAGUUGCAGGGUAUAGACCCGAAACCCGGUGAUCUAGCCAUGGGCAGGUUGAAGGUUGGGUAACACUAACUGGAGGACCGAACCGACUAAUGUUGAAAAAUUAGCGGAUGACUUGUGGCUGGGGGUGAAAGGCCAAUCAAACCGGGAGAUAGCUGGUUCUCCCCGAAAGCUAUUUAGGUAGCGCCUCGUGAACUCAUCUUCGGGGGUAGAGCACUGUUUCGGCUAGGGGGUCAUCCCGACUUACCAACCCGAUGCAAACUACGAAUACCGAAGAAUGUUAUCACGGGAGACACACGGCGGGUGCUAACGUCCGUCGUGAAGAGGGAAACAACCCAGACCGCCAGCUAAGGUCCCAAAGUCAUGGUUAAGUGGGAAACGAUGUGGGAAGGCACAGACAGCCAGGAUGUUGGCUUAGAAGCAGCCAUCAUUUAAAGAAAGCGUAAUAGCUCACUGGUCGAGUCGGCCUGCGCGGAAGAUGUAACGGGGCUAAACCAUGCACCGAAGCUGCGGCAGCGACACUAUGUGUUGUUGGGUAGGGGAGCGUUCUGUAAGCCUGCGAAGGUGUGCUGUGAGGCAUGCUGGAGGUAUCAGAAGUGCGAAUGCUGACAUAAGUAACGAUAAAGCGGGUGAAAAGCCCGCUCGCCGGAAGACCAAGGGUUCCUGUCCAACGUUAAUCGGGGCAGGGUGAGUCGACCCCUAAGGCGAGGCCGAAAGGCGUAGUCGAUGGGAAACAGGUUAAUAUUCCUGUACUUGGUGUUACUGCGAAGGGGGGACGGAGAAGGCUAUGUUAGCCGGGCGACGGUUGUCCCGGUUUAAGCAUGUAGGCUGAUUGUCCAGGCAAAUCCGGAUAAUCAAGGCUGAGGUGUGAUGACGAGGCACUACGGUGCUGAAGUAACAAAUGCCCUGCUUCCAGGAAAAGCCUCUAAGCAUCAGGUAACAUUAAAUCGUACCCCAAACCGACACAGGUGGUCAGGUAGAGAAUACCAAGGCGCUUGAGAGAACUCGGGUGAAGGAACUAGGCAAAAUGGUGCCGUAACUUCGGGAGAAGGCACGCUGGUGUGUAGGUGAAGUCCCUGCGGAUGGAGCUGAGACCAGUCGAAGAUACCAGCUGGCUGCAACUGUUUAUUAAAAACACAGCACUGUGCAAACACGAAAGUGGACGUAUACGGUGUGACGCCUGCCCGGUGCCGGAAGGUUAAUUGAUGGGGUUAUCCGUAAGGAGAAGCUCUUGAUCGAAGCCCCGGUAAACGGCGGCCGUAACUAUAACGGUCCUAAGGUAGCGAAAUUCCUUGUCGGGUAAGUUCCGACCUGCACGAAUGGCGUAAUGAUGGCCAGGCUGUCUCCACCCGAGACUCAGUGAAAUUGAACUCGCUGUGAAGAUGCAGUGUACCCGCGGCAAGACGGAAAGACCCCGUGAACCUUUACUAUAGCUUGACACUGAACAUUGAGCCUUGAUGUGUAGGAUAGGUGGGAGGCUUUGAAGCGUGGACGCCAGUCUGCGUGGAGCCAACCUUGAAAUACCACCCUUUAAUGUUUGAUGUUCUAACGUUGGCCCCUGACCGGGGUUGCGGACAGUGUCUGGUGGGUAGUUUGACUGGGGCGGUCUCCUCCCAAAGCGUAACGGAGGAGCACGAAGGUUAGCUAAUCCUGGUCGGACAUCAGGAGGUUAGUGCAAUGGCAUAAGCUAGCUUGACUGCGAGCGUGACGGCGCGAGCAGGUGCGAAAGCAGGUCAUAGUGAUCCGGUGGUUCUGAAUGGAAGGGCCAUCGCUCAACGGAUAAAAGGUACUCCGGGGAUAACAGGCUGAUACCGCCCAAGAGUUCAUAUCGACGGCGGUGUUUGGCACCUCGAUGUCGGCUCAUCACAUCCUGGGGCUGAAGUAGGUCCCAAGGGUAUGGCUGUUCGCCAUUUAAAGUGGUACGCGAGCUGGGUUUAGAACGUCGUGAGACAGUUCGGUCCCUAUCUGCCGUGGGCGCUGGAGAAUUGAGGGGGGCUGCUCCUAGUACGAGAGGACCGGAGUGGACGCAUCACUGGUGUUCGGGUUGUCAUGCCAAUGGCACUGCCCGGUAGCUAAAUGCGGAAGAGAUAAGUGCUGAAAGCAUCUAAGCACGAAACUUGCCCCGAGAUGAGUUCUCCCUGAGACUUUAAGUCUCCUGAAGGAACGUUAAAGACGAUGACGUUGAUAGGCCGGGUGUGUAAGCGCAGCGAUGCGUUGAGCUAACCGGUACUAAUGAACCGUGAGGCUUAACCUUACAACGCCGAAG